rnacentral:rRNA from 1 species
GAUGAACGCUGGCGGCGUGCCUAAUACAUGCAAGUCGAGCGAACGGACGAGAAGCUUGCUUCUCUGAUGUUAGCGGCGGACGGGUGAGUAACACGUGGAUAACCUACCUAUAAGACUGGGAUAACUUCGGGAAACCGGAGCUAAUACCGGAUGAUAUUUUGAACCGCAUGGUUCAAAAGUGAAAGACGGUCUUGCUGUCACUUAUAGAUGGAUCCGCGCUGCAUUAGCUAGUUGGUAAGGUAAUGGCUUACCAAGGCAACGAUGCAUAGCCGACCUGAGAGGGUGAUCGGCCACACUGGAACUGAGACACGGUCCAGACUCCUACGGGAGGCAGCAGUAGGGAAUCUUCCGCAAUGGGCGAAAGCCUGACGGAGCAACGCCGCGUGAGUGAUGAAGGUCUUCGGAUCGUAAAACUCUGUUAUUAGGGAAGAACAUAUGUGUAAGUAACUGUGCACAUCUUGACGGUACCUAAUCAGAAAGCCAUGGCUAACUACGUG